rnacentral:rRNA from 1 species
CCUACGGGUGGCAGCAGUGAGGAAUAUUGGUCAAUGGGCGUGAGCCUGAACCAGCCAAGUAGCGUGAAGGAUGACUGCCCUACGGGUUGUAAACUUCUUUUAUAAAGGAAUAAAGUGAGGCACGUGUGCCUUUUUGUAUGUACUUUAAGAUUAAGGAGCGGCUAACUCCGUGCCAGCAGCCGCGGUAAUACGGAGGGUGCAAGCGUUGUCCGGUAUCAUUGGGCGUAAAGAGUUCGUAGGCGGCACGUAAAGACUGGCGUUAAAGGAAGAGGCUCAACUUCUGUACGGCACUGGAUACUUGCAAGCUAGAAUGCGGUAGAGGUAAGGGGAAUUCCUGGUGUAGCGGUGAAAUGCUUAGAUAUCAGGAGGAACAUCGGUGGCGUAAGCGCUUUACUGGGCCGUAAUUGACGCUGAGGCACGAAAGCCAGGGUAGCAAAUGGGAUUAGAUACCCGAGUAGUC